UCUAAGCUUUUCAGCGGGACGCGAAUUCACGAACGUCUCGGGGGUGGAAAAGGUCAUGAACAGAAAACCUGCCGCACCUCUGAAUUUUUACAGAUUUCAGUGAUUUGGUUCCAAUCCAGAAACUAUCUCGAGGCAAUAAAAAGGCUGCUGAAUGGUAACCGAGAAACACGGCUAAACUCUCAGCGAGCUACUUUAACGGUACCAGAGGUUCUCACACACAGUGACAGCUAGCAGCGUCCAAAGUGCUGACACGAUGACUUAGAGAUGUGAUAAAGAGAAACACCGUCGGCAUUUUCUGCUGAGAAAACAAAGAUGAAAAACACACGGUUCCUGAUUUCAAGACGGCCAUAGGCUGGUGAGGGGAGAGAGCUGCCAUAGGCAAUGAAAAUUCCUCUUGCUCCACAUCCUUGCCAGCAUUCGGUGUUGUCAGUGCUUUGGAUUCCAGCCAUUAUAAUAGAGCAGCUGCAUGAAAAUUCAAGACUUUGAAGCCAAAGUGCCCAAGAAUUCCCACCACUCUCUGCUGUCCCUACGGUUUUACUUUGAGCACCUCAACAUGUAAUCCAGUGUCCAGCUCAUGGUUACAGUAUCGUGAGUUUAGGAACUCUGCAAGCUGUAAGAUGAUCUGCCCUAAGAUGGUUCAGCUGAGUUUGGAGAAAUGCAAACAAGAAUCCUCAAGGCGUGAUUUCCUAGACCCUGUUUUUGAUCACUUCUGAGAUGUUCAGCAACAAAUUAUAUUCAUUCGUCUUGAACAAAAGGACAGACUGACAGUGUUGAACUUUGCCUGAGUCCUGUGCUCCACAAAACCAGCAAGAGUAGAAAAAUAACCUCCUUGCCCUUUUGGAUUCUGAGAAAGAGCUAUCCUCCAAGGACCACUCUGCCCUCACCUAUGCUGAGCUAAGACUUGCCUUCAUCCUUCCUCAGUGACUCAGAUAAGACUCAUCCCCAUCCUUCCUCAUGAUUCCCGUAAGACUAGGGAUGACUCCCUUGUUUGCUUGCUUCUAUGAGACCCAAGCCCCCCUUCCUUUUCUUUGAGAU